rnacentral:rRNA from 1 species
GACGAACGCUGGCGGCGUGCCUAAUACAUGCAAGUAGAACGCUGAAGGAAGGAGCUUGCUCUUUCUGGCUGAGUUGCGAACGGGUGAGUAACGCGUAGGUAACCUGCCUGGUAGCGGGGGAUAACUAUUGGAAACGAUAGCUAAUACCGCAUAAAAUUGAUUAUUGCAUGAUAGUCAAUUAAAAGGUGCAACUGCACCACUACCAGAUGGACCUGCGUUGUAUUAGCUAGUUGGUGGGGUAACGGCUCACCAAGGCGACGAUACAUAGCCGACCUGAGAGGGUGAUCGGCCACACUGGGACUGAGACACGGCCCAGACUCCUACGGGAGGCAGCAGUAGGGAAUCUUCGGCAAUGGACGGAAGUCUGACCGAGCAACGCCGCGGGAGUGAAGAAGGGUUUCGGAUCGGAAAGCUCUGUUGUAAGAGAAGAACGAGUGUGAGAGUGGAAAGUUCACACUGUGACGGUAUCUUACCAGAAAGGGACGGCUAACUACGUG